rnacentral:ncRNA from 2 species
AAAAAUAAUAAUGAAUACAUCUGUAUAGGUUCACAAAACGGGUGAACGUUUCUACCAGCUACCAUUUUAGUUGACUAUGGAUGCCAGGCAAAGUGAA